rnacentral:lncRNA from 10 species
GAUCUUUCCCCAGAAUUUAAUGCUAAAGUAUGUUUCUCUGAAGUUCAGCUGGGUGAGAUUUUCUCUUGAUCACAUCAGCUGGUGCAAGCCUCUAGUGCAAGCUUCUGGUGAUCAUGUGAAAUGCAAGCUUAUUGUUUUAUAAAUCAUAACAGUAAAAUUCAGAUUAAGAUCAUUUAUAAGUAAUACAUGUUUCUGAGGAUUUAUUAAGCUAAUCAUUUUCAGCUAAGUUUAGAAUUUCUAUAACAUAUAAUAUUAAACAUGUCAUAUAUUUUAGACUAAAUAUGAGACACAAAAUUGCUUACAAGAAGUAAGCUAUUUCUGAGCAUUUAUCAAUUAAAGACAACCUAUCUGAGCCUUUAUUAAUUUAAUCGAGAGACUUCAUGAAUUUUUUGAACAUGUAUUUGCUUAGCCAAAUAGUUUAAGAAAUGUGAAAAUAACUAAAUUAUGAGUUAAAGACUUAGGAAACUUUCUAAAAAUGCAAAUCCAGUAACAAAGCAGGGAUCAAGAUGCAAAUAUGGACAGAAGCCACUGCAGACAGAGAACAAUUAAUGGAAAUGGGAAGACAAGUGAAAUUCCACAGGACUAACCACACAGGAAUACUGGACACAAAAUCUACAUGGUGGAAAGGAAAUAAAAGGAAAAAACAGAAGAAACAUAUUACAGCUGUGAGCUCUACCAUACAUGAUGUUUGAGAGUCAUUAAAUACAUUGAAUAAGCCCAUUAAAUACUGCAUGAUAGGAACAGUUAUUCCAGAACCCUGGUUGAGAGCACCUACUAUAUUUUACAAGAGUUGUUUUCAGCAAAUACAAAUGCAAAGCCUGCAAGGACAGAGAAAGAUACAUGGGUACAGCUCAGCAAUGGCCCUCCCACCAGUAGAGUGGAGACCACAUAGUUGCUAGUAAUUUGGUCAGGGACAACGGCACACUUCUUUCUCCAAGCUUUGAUCACUAAACUCAUUUAGUAUUGUAUAUGAGGAGAAAAAGAUUGUUAAUUGUAUUUGCCAUGAGAUGUAUAAAUAA